rnacentral:rRNA from 1 species
UACGGAGGGGGCUAGCGUUGUUCGGAAUUACUGGGCGUAAAGCGCACGUAGGCGGCUUUGUAAGUUAGAGGUGAAAGCCCAGGGCUCAACCCUGGAAUUGCCUUUGAUACUGGCUAUCUUGAGUAUGGGAGAGGUGAGUGGAACUCCGAGUGUAGAGGUGAAAUUCGUAGAUAUUCGGAAGAACACCAGUGGCGAAGGCGACUCACUGGCCCAUUACUGACGCUGAGGCGCGAAAGCGUGGGGAGCAAACAGG